rnacentral:rRNA from 1 species
UACGUAGGGAGCGAGCGUUGUCCGGAUUUACUGGGUGUAAAGGGCGCGCAGGCGGCCUUCUAAGUCUGAUGUGAAAUCUCGUGGCUUAACCACGAACGGUCAUUGGAAACUGGAGGGCUUGAGUACAGAAGAGGAGAGUGGAAUUCCACGUGUAGCGGUGAAAUGCGCAGAGAUGUGGAGGAACACCAGUGGCGAAGGCGACUCUCUGGUCUGUAACUGACGCUGAGGCGCAAAAGCGUGGGUAGCAAACAGG